rnacentral:lncRNA from 1 species
CCCUCUUAUCUCCAGCGAGAUAAGGCUAUCGCUCCUUCUGGUGAACCAGAGAAACAAGAAGGCCUAGUUUUCAUGGCGACCGUGGCCUUCAACCUCGUAGGCGCCUUCAAGGGACUCUCCUUGGGGUCGAGCUCCGCAUCUUCUUACCUCAGGGGUGACCUCGGGCUGCCCCGCCCCGGCAGCGGUACCUCCAUCUCCUUCCCCAUGAGGUCCCCACUGACGAUCGAGUCGGCGCACAAGAAGGGGGCCGGUAGCACCAAGAACGGCCGUGAUUCCAGGGGGAAGCGGCUCGGCGUCAAGAUCUACGGCGAUCAGGUCGCCCAGCCUGGUGCCAUCA